rnacentral:misc_RNA from 1 species
UUGCAGCUUCGGCGAGGCACUAUCUGCUUCAACCAAUAAUAGCAGAUCACAAGACUUUGGAUAGUUUGCUUCUUACUGAUGCGGAUGGACAGGGGGUUCUCUGUAUGAACAAAGAUCAACUUGAGGAGUUGAGGGUGAAGCCCUUGUCUGCUUCUUCGGCUUCUAAGAGAACUCUUGUACCAGCUCUGAAUAUGAGACUUUGGUAUGCCACACACUUAGAAUUGCCUAAUGGGUUGAUACUGAAGGGCG